UGAUGUGAUCAUACCAGCACUAAAGCACCGGAUCCCAUCAGAACUCCGAAGUUAAGCGUGCUUGGGCGAGAGUAGUACUAGGAUGGGUGACCUCCUGGGAAGUCCUCGUGUUGCAUUCC
rnacentral:rRNA from 2 species